AAUUCUCAACCUCUCUAGUUUUUAUUGACUAGUAGAUGGCUUGGAUGUGGGGGUGUUUUGCAGGCUUUCACAAGUCAGCUCCCCUUAAAUGUAUUAGCCGGUUCUCUCUGACCGUCUAUUAGUGUGAUAAUUAUCUACGCUGUAGACUUUGGAGUUGUACUGCUUAUAACCGUCCUGUACAGGACAAUCUAUGACA
rnacentral:misc_RNA from 2 species